rnacentral:rRNA from 1 species
GACAGAGGAUGCAAGCGUUAUCCGGAAUGAUUGGGCGUAAAGCGUCUGUAGGUGGCUUUUUAAGUCCGCCGUCAAAUCCCAGGGCUCAACCCUGGACAGGCGGUGGAAACUACCAAGCUGGAGUACGGUAGGGGCAGAGGGAAUUUCCGGUGGAGCGGUGAAAUGCGUAGAGAUAUGGAGGAACACCAGUGGCGAAGGCGACUUUCUGGUCUGUAACUGACGCUGAGGCGCGAAAGCGUGGGGAGCAAACAGG